AGUAAGGUCAGCUAAUAAAGCUCUCGGGCCCAUACCCCGAAAAUGUUGGUUUUUCCCCUCCCUUACUA
rnacentral:tRNA from 1 species